rnacentral:rRNA from 1 species
CCUACGGGCGGCAGCAGUGAGGAAUCUUGGUCAAUGGACGAGAGUCUGAACCAGCCAAGUAGCGUGAAGGAUGACUGCCCUAUGGGUUGUAAACUUCUUUUAUAUGGGAAUAAAACGUUCCACGUGUGGGAUUUUGUAUGUACCAUAUGAAUAAGGAUCGGCUAACUCCGUGCCAACAGCCGCGGUCAUACGGAGGAUCCGAGCGUUAUCCGGAUUUAUUGGGUUUAACGGGAGCGUAGGUGGAUUGUUAAGUCAGUUGUGAAAGUUUGCGGCUCAACCGUAAAAUUGCAGUUGAAACUGGCAGUCUUGAGUACAGUAGAGGUGAGCGGAAUUCGUGGUUUAGCGGUGAAAUGCUUAGAUAUCACGAAGAACUCCGAUUGCGAAGGCAGUUCACUGGACUGUAACUGACACUGAGGCUCGAAAGUGUGGGUAUCAAACAGGAUUAGAUACCCUUGUAGUC